rnacentral:tRNA from 1 species
GGCCCCGUAGCUCAGGUGGAUAGAGCGUCGGAUUCCUAAUCCGAAGGCCGCUGGUUCGAGUCCAGCCGGGGUCA